rnacentral:tRNA from 1 species
GCGGGUGUAGCCCAACUGGUAGAGGCACCUGACUCAGGAUCAGGAAAGUGCUGGUUCAACUCCAGCCACCCGUACCA